ACGCUCGACACCUACGGGAGCAGCAGUAGGGAAUCUUCCACAAUGGACGCAAGUCUGAUGGAGCAACGCCGCGUGAGUGAAGAAGGUUUUCGGAUCGUAAAGCUCUGUUGUUGGUGAAGAAGGAUAGAGGUAGUAACUGGCCUUUAUUUGACGGUAAUCAACCAGAAAGUCACGGCUAACUACGUGCCAACAGCCGCGGUAAUCUGAGCGGGCUGGCAAGGC
rnacentral:rRNA from 1 species